rnacentral:misc_RNA from 1 species
UCUGGCUCAGGGUCGGUUGACAUCCAUCGGGCGAGGGGUGCAAGCCUCCGGAUCGCAUCGGGCCGUCGUCUCUGCCCUAUGGCGGACGUGCAGCCUCAGAGUUCACCGUGCGGAGUUUGCGACGACUCAACUCUUGGACCUAAUCAGUCUGGGUUGGCCUGUCGGCUGGCCGCACGCGUUGGGCGCUGGCGUUUUCUGCCUGCCUGCCCUCGAACGUUUACCACUU